rnacentral:rRNA from 1 species
UGAGGAAUAUUGGGUCAAUGGGCGCAAGCCUGAACCAGCCAAGUCGCGUGAAGGAAGACGGCCCUAUGGGUUGUAAACUUCUUUAGGGUGGGAACAAAGGACGCCACGCGUGGCGAGAUGAGUGUACCACCAGAAUAAGCAUCGGCUAACUCCGUGCCAGCAGCCGCGGUAAUACGGAGGAUGCGAGCGUUAUCCGGAUUUAUUGGGUUUAAAGGGUGCGUAGGCGGUUUGUCAAGUCAGCGGUCAAACUGCGGGGCUUAACCUCGUAUUGCCGUUGAAACUGGCUGACUAGCGUGGCGUCGAGGUGUGCGGAAUGCGUUGUGUAGCGGUGAAAUGCAUAGAUAUGACGCAGAACUCCGAUUGCGAAGGCAGCACACCGGGCGCCUACGGACGCUGAGGCACGAAAGCGUGGGUAUCGAACAGGAUUAGAUACCCUGGUAGU